rnacentral:rRNA from 1 species
CUGCUGCCUCCCGUAGGAGUCUGGGCCGUGUCUCAGUCCCAAUGUGGCCGGCCAACCUCUCAGUCCGGCUACUGAUCGUCGCCUUGGUGGGCCGUUACCCCGCCAACCAGCCAAUCAGACGCGAGUCCAUCUCAGAGCGAUAAAUCUUUGAUAUCCAGAGCCAUGCGACCCCAGAUAUAUCAUGCGGUAUUAGCAGCUGUUUCCAGCUGUUAUUCCCCACUCCAAGGCAGGUUACU